AUGAACGCCGGCGGCGUGCCUAAUACAUGCAAGUCGAGCGAACAGACGAGGAGCUUGCUCCUCUGACGUUAGCGGCGGACGGGGGAGUAACACGUGGAUAACCUACCUAUAAGACUGGGAUAACUUCGGGAAACCGGAGCUAAUACCGGAUAAUAUAUUGAACCGCAUGGUUCAAUAGUGAAAGACGGUUUUGCUGUCACUUAUAGAUGGAUCCGCGCCGCAUUAGCUAGUUGGUAAGGUAACGGCUUACCAAGGCAACGAUGCGUAGCCGACCUGAGAGGGUGAUCGGCCACACUGGAACUGAGACACGGUCCAGACUCCUACGGGAGGCAGCAGUAGGGAAUCGUCCGCAAUGGGCGAAAGCCUGACGGAGCAACGCCGCGUGAGUGAUGAAGGUCUUCGGAUCUUAAAACUCUGUUAUUAGGGAAGAACAAAUGUGUAAGUAACUAUGCACGUCUUGACGGUACCUAAUCAGAAAGCCACGGCUAACUACGUG
rnacentral:rRNA from 1 species